AGUGAACGCUGGCGGCAGGCCUAACACAUGCAAGUCGAACGGCAGCACAGGAGAGCUUGCUCUCUGGGUGGCGAGUGGCGGACGGGUGAGGAAUAUAUCGGAAUCUACCCUUUCGUGGGGGAUAACGUAGGGAAACUUACGCUAAUACCGCAUACGAACUGAGGUUGAAAGCGGCGGACCGCAAGGCGUCGCGCGGAUGGAUGAGCCGAUAUCCGAUUAGCUAGUUGGCGGGGUAAAGGCCCACCAAAGCGACGAUCGGUAGCUGGUCUGAGAGGAUGAUCAGCCACACUGGAACUGAGACACGGUCCAGACUCCUACGGGAGGCAGCAGUGGGGAAUAUUGGACAAUGGGCGCAAGCCUGAUCCAGCCAUGCCGCGUGUGUGAAGAAGGCCUUCGGGUUGUAAAGCACUUUUGUUGGGAAAGAAAAGCGGUCGGUUAAUACCCGGUCGUUCUGACGGUACCCAAAGAAUAAGCACCGGCUAACUUCGUGCCAGCAGCCGCGGUAAUAC
rnacentral:rRNA from 1 species